rnacentral:misc_RNA from 1 species
UAAUAAGUGUUUUAUGGCACUUUAUUUAAAUCCAUAUCCACCUUGUGUGCAAUGUCAGUCGAUCUUCUUCAUGGAGAUCGACCAAACAUCAACCUUUAUCUUUUAACUCUUUUGUCUGAAAAAUAUUAUGAAUAAACAAUUCAAAAUA